AAGUCUUUAUCUCAAAAAUUUGGGCGAUCAUACCCAAAUUUUAUAUGAGUUAUUCCAAUACAUAUGUUACGCCUGUAACAUGUUUUAAGAACUAGUGCAGCUUUUUUCUAUAGUUGAAAUUAUGAAUCCUGAAUGCCAAGCUCUUUGGUGUGUUCUUGUUUUUGGCUCUUUGAUGAAAACACAAACUUUAAUUAUAAAUAGACAGAAUUUAUCUGUCUGUUCAUAUUAUCACUGCAAAGGUUACAAGGUCCUAGUAAUUGAAAGGGAAAUAUUAUGUAUUUGUUAUCAUCAGAUGCUUUUGAACUUGUGCCAGGUCAAGUUUUCAAUAAACCAUGAAAUGGUUUCAAUUACUUUACAUCAUUUAGCAAAAACUGAAAAAAAAAGGCUGUUAAAGUUUAUCCAUCCCAUUUGAUAGGUUGAACAACAUUUGGAAUUCACAUGUAAGCUAACAUGAUUGAUUAUUUGCAAGUGACGUGUAUUGAUGUAAAGUUAAUUUGCAAACUAAGGAAUAAAUUGAUUUUGAUCAAUAAUUAAGAUACGUAGGAAAAUUAAACUGCACAUUAUCUGUUUUUCUGCAUCAUUUGUCGAGUCGUGCCUCUUGUUCUAUAGAAUGUCAUAAUUACAUAGAUACUAAAUGAAAAUUUUAUCAUACUAGGAAGUAAAAGGAACUAAAUCUACUUAAUCCUACAAAACCUAUUCAAUUUGAGAUUUUUUUUGUCAAUAAUAAUGGCUUUGGACCAAGACAAUUUUUAGCAAAG
rnacentral:misc_RNA from 1 species